AUUGAACGCUGGCGGCAUGCCUUACACAUGCAAGUCGAACGGCAGCACGGGUGCUUGCAUCUGGUGGCGAGUGGCGAACGGGUGAGUAAUACAUCGGAACAUGUCCUGUAGUGGGGGAUAGCCCGGCGAAAGCCGGAUUAAUACCGCAUACGAUCUACGGAUGAAAGCGGGGGACCUUCGGGCCUCGCGCUAUAGGGUUGGCCGAUGGCUGAUUAGCUAGUUGGUGGGGUAAAGGCCUACCAAGGCGACGAUCAGUAGCUGGUCUGAGAGGACGACCAGCCACACUGGGACUGAGACACGGCCCAGACUCCUACGGGAGGCAGCAGUGGGGAAUUUUGGACAAUGGGCGAAAGCCUGAUCCAGCAAUGCCGCGUGUGUGAAGAAGGCCUUCGGGUUGUAAAGCACUUUUGUCCGGAAAGAAAUCCUUGGCCCUAAUACGGUCGGGGGAUGACGGUACCGGAAGAAUAAGCACCGGCUAACUACGUG
rnacentral:rRNA from 1 species